rnacentral:SRP_RNA from 1 species
UCUGGGCAUGGUGGCGCAUGCCUGUAGUCCCAGCUACUUGGGAGGCUGAGGCAGAAGGAUCACUUGAGUCCAAGAGUUUGAGGUUGCAGUUAGCUGUGACUGAGCCACUGCACUCCAGCCUGGGCACCAGAGUGAGACCCUGUCUCUC